AGGGUUCUGAGAAGUCCAAAGUGCCAUUGCUCAAGAUGAGAUCACCAAAAGACAUGGAGAACCUUACCUGGACUGCAUACACCUGCAUUAGAGUGUAAAAUGGAAGAUAACAUUUUACAGGUUAUCAAUAAGGUCCCUGGAGGAAAGUAUGCAGGAGAGGACCCAUCGCUGCUGGGCCAUGGCUUGCAGAGUACUCCCUGUUAGUCAGCACUGUGACCACAAUGAAGCAGGACGUGCCAGGCAUGAGAGAGUAGGGUGAAUGAGAGCAAAGUACCCACGUGUCUGCUGG